UCUACUUGUAGGAGUACUAAACUUGAAAAGAGAGCCAGAAGGAACACUGUUCCUAAGAAAGCUCUCAAUCCUGGCCGUUCAAUUAUUUUUUUAGCGGCCCCACUUGCUUAUAUUGAUUUUUGACCAUUGAUCAUUGGUGGAUGUAUUUGGGCUGGCCUAAGAAAGGAAGCCCAAUAGUUUCACGGAGCUUACCCCUCUCUACCUGACGUCAUUCUUUCGUUGAAGAUGGAGAUGAUGAAUGGGAAUAGUGUUGGUUUGGUCUUCUCUUCCUGUCAUGAUGUUUGCUUUUCGUCAUUUGUUUAUGGGUUAGGUUGAUAGUAGCUGAUGUGUGUAAGUCAGUGGGUAGAUUUUUGAAGGAGAAGAGUACCAUCUUUGAUUUGAAUGGGGUAUUCGAAUUUUCUCUUUUGAGGAUUAGGUUAGAUGAUGAGUUGAGUGUAGCAGAUAUUGGAAGUACUGACUAUCUGUCUUCUGAUGAUCGGUGCUGUUGAUUUUGUCAUUCUCCCUUGUGGUUCUUUGAUCGUUUGUUCUGAGUGUUAUAGAUUUCAUCAUACUGACGUAAUUUGAGUCAAUCGAGUGUGGGUUAGGCGGAGACUGCCCUGGAUGUGAUUUGGACUAGGGUUAAGUUUUGAAUGAACAUGGGGGAAUAGUGCCCUCCAAUUGUCAGAAAGAGAGAAAAAUGAGAAGGAGUUCCUGUUUGGUCUUCUGCUGAAGCUUCUAUAGAUGUGGUAUUCAAUUUGAUCACGGUGACGAAGAAGAUGGUGGAAGUUGAAGGACGAAAUUUCACUGUUUACGUUUCGUAUGAUCAUAAGGUGACGAAGAAGGACCAGAUUCAGAAGCCAAGAUGAUGAGAGAUCACGUCAGUUCAGUACAAGUGCAGCAGUUGGCAGUUUUGGUGAGCACAAUGUGGCAUUGUCUUCCUAUAUUCGGGGGAAGACACUUUCCUUCUUGCUGCUCCAUGUUUUUCUGCUGCUGGUACUUUGUGAGAGGUAAACCAUUGGUUUCAACUGCCACUAGGAAAUUGAAUUUUUUUAUUUUUCUCUGAUUUAUAAUUUUUUUUAUGAAUGACCUGUGAGUGAUUCUUAGGAGUAUGUAAAGAUAACUGGUAGAUGAAUAAAUCGCUAGGUAUAUUAUUUUUUUGCUUAUGUAUGAGUUUAUGAAAUGCUACAUUCAAGAUUUUUGGUUGUCACAAUAUGAUAUUCAGUUGGUUUGACACAGACACUUACGAUUAUCCACCACAUCUUGAUGCUCACUUGGUAUUAAUCAUUCCUUUAUUUGUGCAAGAGUAACACUGCUAUGCAAUUGAACCAGCCUUUGUGUAUAGAUUUUUUACUAGGAAGUCAAAUGUGCACGAGUUUCACUGCUCUGUUGUAUGGGAAGUUUAAAUCAAUUGCAGAAUUAGUUUUCGUUCCAGUCCAAGCUUUUUGAUUUAGGGUGCCAUCUGCUCUCCUUUAGUGACAAGGUAACAAUUUAAAUGCUUUUUGAAUUAUGAGUUUCUUUAUAGGUGAAUAAUACUCUAUUUCUAGCAAAACAAUUAGGGUGUUUACAAUUGAAUUUGCGUCCUUUGAAUUCUAUAAGCAAUUAAAGGAUGUAUCAAAUUUUUUACAUAUGCUAAGCUUUGGCUUCUUUACACCAUCGUUGCUAUUCCGUUGUGAUUUUUCAGCAAAAGUCUCUUCUACUUGGUCUAAAAUAAACAUUUUAUGUUUCCCUUUCUCUUCAUUUUAGAUAUGUAAGUGGCUCAUAUGAUUCUGGCAAAGUGGCAAUGUCUUCCUCUUAUUGACUAAAGAGAUUUCAAAGCACGAAUCUUCGAAAAUAGUAUAGAGGGUUCAUCGUUGAGGCUUUUCUAUCUUGCACUUUCAGUUUUUGGUAACUCUUCCUCCAAAAUUGGUAACUUUUCCUUUUCAGUUUUGGUAAAUUUGCAAUUUUAGCAUUUUUAACUUUGCCUACACUUCAUAUUUUCAAAAUUGGAUUUGUCACUUAUUACAGAUUACAGGUUUGUUUAUAAAUCUUGAUAAAUACAAUAUUUUAUUUGCUUUGUGUUGUACCCUUUUAAGUUUUUGAUAUCAUUUGUACCUAUUUUUGUUUGAAUGAUGGGUUGCUUUGUUCAAAUCUGGUGCCAAAAGAGGCCUAAUUACAAAUUCUAACGAAUUAUAUUAUUAUGUUGUUCUUUAAAAACUCUUUGUUUGUGCUGGGAUCACAUUAAUUUGAGCCCUAUGUCAGUGGUGUAUUAGUUGAGUGUGCAACUACUGUAAGUUGAUACCUCUGAUAUUCUCCAAUCAUAUUAGCAGUUUCAGUUUAAAAGUUGUUUUUUGUGAACAAUAUCUCUUAUUAUGUGUGGUGAACAUUUGAUUGAAAUUUAAUGCUUUGUUUUAUAAUAGCUUUUGAUUAAUGAUAUAAUUGAGACCAUGUCAUGUGAAAUGUGAUAUUUCUCUUUUGUCAAAUGCACCUGCUGCCAAGCUAACAUUGAGCAGUUUGAUUCUUCGGAGAAUCAUAAGCUAGAGUCAAAUUGAACAGUGCUUUUGCUUUCAAUAGAGUGGAAAGAAAUGGGAUCCAAGAAGGUGGAAGGAAGUCCUCCACAAGCUAUGGAAUUGAAGAAAUGGGUGUAUUGAUUCAGUACAAGUUGAUGCUCAUGAGAGUUCAAAUUAUCUCACUGUUUACAAGUAAUUUACGAGAGACCAAACAAGGCCCUCGUGAGGAUGCUAUUACUUCAAGCUCCAAAUAACCGUGUAUUAAGAUUAAUGUUGUUGAGGAGGGUACUAUUGAGGAAGAUCUUUGUUCAAGUGGAUGCACUACACCAAAGGCUAAAGAGUUCAGAAUUCCGAAGGUAUUUGUGCAAUAAAUGGAGAAGCAAAUUAUGUAAGGUUACAAAUUUAAAAAAAUGAAGCUGUGUUUUUUUUAAUGAAAAUUGAUGAUGUGAAGCUAACUAUGAAUGGGAACUGAUGAAUGUUAUAGUGAACAAUGGACGAAUCAUUUUGUUGCUUAAAUGUGGUUCUUUGUAAAAAUACUUGGAUAUGAUCCUGUGGAUGAUUUUGCAGUUUUAAAGAAAGAUAUUCCAACUAUUGUGUGGACAUAACAAGCACAAAAGAUGGCAAGUUUAUAACUGCGAACUCGAACUCAAGGACUUCAUUGGAGAAAGGAAGUAGACAAAAUGAAAAGGGCCAACUCUUUUUUGUGGGUUUGUGAGUGUGUCGCCAUUUUGCUGAGAAAAAUUGGUGUGAGUACUGCAUCAGAGGGAGAUUUGGGAUAUUUCAAUAAAGGUUCCCCUUGGAGCAGUUCCUACCGGUUUUAUGUACUUAUCGUUUACUUAUGUUUGUUUCUGGUUAGAUAGUUAUUUUCACCAACCACAUGUACUUUAGCUGGUAAUUUUAGAAGUGGUUAGGUUACAUUCUAUAUGAAUUAUUGAUUCCUUUUCGAUAUUUUUUUUGCAUUCCAUGGAUUUUGUGA